GGGGAAUUUUGUGGGUAAAAAAUGGGAAUUUUGCGGACCAAAAAUGGCAAUUUUGGUUGCUAAAAAUGGGAAUUUUUUUGAGGGAAAAAUUGGAAUUUUUUGAGGGAAAAAAUUUAAGGAUAUUUUGAAAAUUUUUGAGUUAAAAAUGGGAAUUUUGGAAGAAAAUUGGGAAUUUUGAGGGGGGGAAAUGGGAAUUUUGUGGGUAAAAAUGGGAAUUUUGUGGGUAAAAAAUGGGAAUUUUGGGGUCUAAAAAUUAGAAUUUUUUGAGAGAAAAAUUUGGGAAUAAUUUGGGAAUAUUUGAGUUAAAAAUGGGAAAUUUUGGGAGAAAAUUGUGAAUUUAGAGGAGGGAAAAAAUUGGAAUUUUGAGGGAAAAUUUUUGAUUUUUUUUGAGAAAAUUUUGGAAUAUUUUGGGGUGAAAAUUUGGGAAUUUUCGAGUGAAAAUUUGGGAAUUUUUUGGAUAAAAAUUUGGGAUUUUUCGCCUCCAUUUUGUCUCCCAGCCCAGCCCCGCCCCCUCCCAGCCUUGGCCCUGCCCCCGCUGCACCUUCCUGAACCGAGGCCCCGCCCCUUCCUGCCAGAUGUGCGGUGACGUCACUUCCGCCCAGGCCACGCCCACUCCCGGUAGUUUUCCCACCACUUCCUGUUCGGAGAACGCCACUUCCUGUUCGGAAAAUUCCACUUCCGGUUUGGAAAACCCCACUUCCGGUUUGGAAAAUCUUACUUCCGGUUUGGAAAAUUUAACUUUCGGGGCGGAGAAUUUGAAAUGGGGAGGUGAUGACGUCACUUCCGGGUCAGGCCACGCCCCCUCCCGUGAUGCUUUGCGGCAGCGGAAGUUGAUGGAGGACGGGCGGCGCCUGGUGGAGCUGGUCAGGGUCGCCGAAUCCCAGGGCCUCCCCCCGGAAUCUCUCGGCCCCGCCCCCUUUUCCGCCCUUCCGGAACAUUCCGACCCCGAAUCCCAAAUCCGGCACUUCCGGGGCCGCCUCGGGGGGGUCCUCAAGGAGCUCCAGGGGGCGGAGCCUGACCCCAAAGGGGGCGGAGCCUCCCUCGGGCCGUUCUCAUUGGCCGAAGCCGCGUGGGCGUGGCUGGAGGGGGAGGGGCAGCCGGACCGCGCCCGCCGCGUUCUGAUUGGCCGGAGGAAGCAGCAGGUCAGAGGGGGCGGGGCUUAAAGUUUGGGGGGGAAAUGGUAAAAAUUGGGUUCAAAAUGGCGGAAUUUGGGUAAAAAAUGGGGGAAUUUGGGUAAAAAAUGGCGGAAUUUGGGUAAAAUGGUGGAAUUUAGGUAAAAAUGGUGGAAUUUUGGUAAAAAUGGGGAAAAUUGACUUCAAAAUGGGGAAUUUGGGUUAAAAUGGCGAAAUUUGGGUCCAAAUGGAAGAAUUUGCUUAAAAAUGGAGGAAUUUGGGCCAAAAUGGCAGAAUUUGGGUCAAAAUGGCUGAAAUUGGGUCCAAAAUGGGGAAUUUGGGUAAAAAAUGGCAGAAUUUGGGUAAAAAAUGGCGGAAUUUGGGUCCAAAAUUGUGGAAUUUGGUCCAAAAUGGCGAAAUUUGGGUAAAAAUGGCAGAAUUUAGGUAAAAAUGGCGGAAUUUUGGUUAAAACGGGGAAAAUUGACUUCAAAAUGGGGAAUUUGGGUUCAAAAUAGCAGAAUUUGGGUAAAAAGUGGCGGAAUUUGGGUCCAAAUGGCAGAAUUUGGUUUAAAAGUGGCGGAAUUUGGGUUAAAAAUGGUGGAAUUUGGUUCAAAUUGGUGGAAUUUGGUUCUAAAUGGUAGAAUUUUGUUCAAAAUGGCGGAAUUUGGGUAUAAAAUGGCGGAAUUUGGGUAAAAAUGGCAGAAUUUGGUCCAAAAUUGCAGAAUUUCGGUAAAAAAUGGCGGAUUUUGAUUCAAAAUGGCAGAAUUUGGGUUCAAAAUAAAAGAAUUGGGUCAAAAAUGACAGAAUUUGGUUCAAAAUGCCGGACUUUUGGUAAAAAUGGCAGAAUUUGGGUAAAAAUUGCAAAAUUUUGUUCAAAAUGCCAAAAUUUCAGUCCAAAAUAUUGGAAUUUGGGUCAAAAUGGUGGAAUUUGGUCCAAAAUGGCAGAAUUUUGGUCCAAAAUGGUGGAUUUUGGGUCAAAAUGGCAGAAUUUUGGUAAAAAUGGGAAAAAUUGGGUUCAAAAUGGGAAAUUUGGGUUCAAAAUGGCAAAAAUUGGGUAAAAAAUGGCGUAAUUUGGAUAAAAAAUGGGGGAAUUUGGGUCCAAAUGGCAGAAUUUGGUUAAAAAGUGGCGGAAUUUAGGUAAAAAUGGCGGAAUUUUUUUCAAAAUGGCAGAAUUUGGUUCAAAAUGGUCGAAUUUGGAUUCAAAAUGGCGGAAUUUGGGUUAAAAUGGCGGAAUUUGGGUCCAAUUGCAGAAUUUGGUUAAAAAGUGGCAGAAUUUGGGUAAAAAAUGGAGGAUUUGGUCAAAAUGGUGGAAUUUGGGUCAAAAUUGUAGGAUUUCUGUAAAAAAUGACGGAAUUUGGUUCAAAAUGGCGGAAUUUGGGUUCAAAAUGGCAGAAUUUGGUCCAAAAUUGUAGGAUUUCGGUAAAAAAUGGCGGAAUUUGGUUCUAAAUGGCAGAAUUUGGGUUCAAAAUAGAAGAAUUGGGUCCAAAAUGGCGAAAUUUGGGUAAAAAUGGCAGAAUUUGGGUUCAAAAUAGAAAAAUUUGGUCCAAAAUGGCGGAAUUUGGGUCCCAAAUCACAGAAAUUGGGUUAAAAAUGGCAGAAUUUGGGUCAAAAUGGGGGAAUUUGGAUCAAAAUGGCAGAAUUUUGGUAAAAAUGGGAAAAAUUGGGUUCAAAAUGGUGGAAUUUGGGUCAAAAUGGUGGAAUUUGGUUCAAAAUAGCAGAAUUUAAGUUUAAAAUAGAAAAAUUGGGUCCAAAAUGGUGGAAUUUUGGUAAAAGUGGGAAAAAUUGGGUUCAAAAUGGGGAAUUUGGGUAAAAAAUGGCGGAAUUUGGGUCAAAAUGGAGGCAUUUGGUCCAAAAUUGUGGAAAUUCAGUAAAAAAUGGCGGAAUUUGGGUCAAAAUGGCGGAAUUUGGUCUUAAAUUGUAGGAUUUUGGUAAAAAAUGGCGUAUUUGGUUCAAAAUGGCGGAAUUUGGGUACAAAAUGGCGGAAUUUGUUUCAAAAUGGCUGAAAAUGUGUUCAAAAUGGCAGAAUUUGGUUCAAAAUGGCAGAAUUUGUUUUAAAAUGGCAAAAAUUAGAUUCAAAAUGGCGGAAUUUGGGUAAAAAUGGCGGAAUUUGGGUCCAAAUGGCAGAAGUUGGUUAAAAAGUGACGGAAUUUAGGUUAAAAAUGGUGGAAUUUGGUUCAAAAUGGCUGAAAUUGGGUUCAAAAUGGCAAAAAUUGGAUUCAAAAUGGCAGAAUUUGGGUAAAAAUGACAGAAUUUGGUUCAAACGGCAGAAUUUGGGUUCAAAAUGGCGGAAAUUGGGUCCAAAUGGCAGAAUUUGGUUCAAAAUGGCAGAAAUUGGGUUAAAAAUGGCAGAAUUUGGGUCAAAAUUGUGGAAUUUGGAUAAAAUGGUGGAAUUUUGGUAAAAAUGGGAAAAAUUGGGUCCAAAAUAAGGAAUUUGGGUCAAAAUUUCAGAAUUUAGGUCCAAAAUGGUGGAAUUUGGGUCAAAAUGGCGGAAUUUGGUUCAAAAUAGCAGAAUUUUGGUUUAAAAUAAAAAACUUGGGUGUAAAAUGGCGGAAUUUGGGUUAAAUUAGCAGAAUAUGGGUCAAAAUGGUGGAAUUUGGGUUCAAAUGGCAGAAUUUGGGUAAAAAAUGGGAAAAAAUGGGUUCAAAAUGGCGGAAUUUGGUUCAAAAUAGCAGAAUUUGGGUUUAAAAUAAAAAAAUCAGGUCCAAAAUGGCGGAAUUUGGGUUAAAUUAGCAGAAUACGGGUCAAAAUGGCGGAAUUUGGAUUAAAAUGGUGGAAUUUCGGUAAAAAUGGGAAAAAUUGACUUCAAAAUGGGGAAUUUGGGUUAAAAAUGGCGGAACUUGGGUAAAAAAAUGGCAAAAUUUGGGUAAAAAGUGGCAGAAUUUGGGUUCUAAUGGCAGAAUUUGGUUAAAAAGUUGCGGAAUUUGGGUAAAAAAUGGUGGAAUUUGGUUCAAAAUGGCGGAAUUUGGGUUCAAAAUGGCAAAAAUUGGAUUCAAAAUGUUGAAGUUUGGGUAAAAAUGGCAGAAUUUAGUUUAAAAUGGUGGAAUUUGGUCCAAAAUAGAAAAAUUU
rnacentral:lncRNA from 1 species